rnacentral:tRNA from 1 species
ACCUGGCUGGCUCAAUUGGUAGAGCGUGUGACUUUUGAUCUCGGGGUCGUGAGUAUGAACCCCAUGUUGGGUG